rnacentral:tRNA from 2 species
UCCCCGGAAGCUAAUAUAUUAUGAGCGUUGAUUUUGUAAAUCAAAAAAGUACUUUUUUACCUGGGGAU